rnacentral:misc_RNA from 1 species
GAUGAAGAACGUAGCGAAAUGCGAUAAGUAAUGCGAAUUGCAGAAUCCGUGAGUCAUCGAAUCUUUGAACGCAUAUUGCGCCCUUUGGCAUUCCGAAGGGCAUGCCUGUUCGAGCGUCAUUAUCACCCCUCAAGCCCCGGCUUGGUGUUGGGCCCCCGGUGGUCGUACCCGACCACCCGCCUCAAAGAUAGUGACGGCGUCCCAGAGGGAACCGGUACGAGGAGCUUUCACGAGCAUGUACGCGGGACGACUCUGUGGGCGACGGUCUUUUUUAACCUUAAUAUAUCAAGUGUUGACCUCGGAUCAGGUAGGAAUACCCGCUGAACUUAAGCAUAUCAAUAAGCGGAAGA